GAUGAACGCUGGCGGCGUGCCUAAUACAUGCAAGUCGAGCGAACAGACGAGGAGCUUACUCCUCUGACGUUAGCGGCGGACGGGGGAGUAACACGUGGAUAACCUACCUAUAAGACUGGGAUAACUUCGGGAAACCGGAGCUAAUACUGGAUAAUAUAUUGAACCGCAUGGUUCAAUAGUGAAAGACGGUUUUGCUGUCACUUAUAGAUGGAUCCGCGCCGCAUUAGCUAGUUGGUAAGGUAACGGCUUACCAAGGCAACGAUGCGUAGCCGACCUGAGAGGGUGAUCGGCCACACUGGAACUGAGACACGGUCCAGACUCCUACGGGAAGCAGCAGUAGGGAAUCUUCCGCAAUGGACGAAAGCCUGACGGAGCAACGCCGCGUGAGUGAUGAAGGUCUUCGGAUCGUAAAACUCUGUUAUUAGGGAAGAACAAAUGUGUAAGUAACUAUGCACGUCUUGACGGUACCUAAUCAGAAAGCCACGGCUAACUACGUG
rnacentral:rRNA from 1 species